AGUGAACGCUGGCGGUAGGCCUAACACAUGCCAGUCGAACGGCAGCACAGUAAGAGCUUGCUCUUACGGGUGGCGAGUGGCGGACGGGUGAGGAAUACAUCGGAAUCUACUUUUUCGUGGGGGAUAACGUAGGGAAACUUACGCUAAUACCGCAUACGACCUACGGGUGAAAGCAGGGGAUCUUCGGACCUUGCGCGAUUGAAUGAGCCGAUGUCGGAUUAGCUAGUUGGCGGGGUAAAGGCCCACCAAGGCGACGAUCCGUAGCUGGUCUGAGAGGAUGAUCAGCCACACUGGAACUGAGACACGGUCCAGACUCCUACGGGAGGCAGCAGUGGGGAAUAUUGGACAAUGGGCGCAAGCCUGAUCCAGCCAUACCGCGUGGGUGAAGAAGGCCCUCGGGUUGUAAAGCCCUUUUGUUGGGAAAGAAAAGCAGCAGGUUAAUACCCCGCUGUUCUGACGGUACCCAAAGAAUAAGCACCGGCUAACUUCGG
rnacentral:rRNA from 1 species